GCCCCGCAAGGGGUAACUGAGUGGCGAACGGGUGAGUAACACGUGGGUGACCUACCCUCGAGUGGGGGAUAACAUCCCGAAAGGGGUGCUAAUACCGCAUGACAUCCUGUCUUUGAACAGAUGGACAUUAAAGCCGGGGAUCGCAAGACCUGGCGCUCGUGGAGGGGCCCGCGCCCGAUUAGCUAGUUGGUGAGGUAACGGCUCACCAAGGCUUCGAUCGGUAUCCGGCCUGAGAGGGCGGACGGACACACUGGGACUGAGACACGGCCCAGACUCCUACGGGAGGCAGCAGUGGGGAAUUGUUCGCAAUGGGCGAAAGCCUGACGACGCAACGCCGCGUGGAGGACGAAGAUCUUCGGGUCGUAAACUCCUUUCGAUCGGGACGAAUGAUCGGCGAUCUAAUACAUCGCCGGAAUGACGGUACCGAGAGAAGAAGCCCCGGCUAACUCCGUGCCAGCAGCCGCGGUAAUACGGGGGGGGCAAGCGUUGUUCGGAAUUACUGGGCGUAAAGGGCGCGUAGGCGGCCAUCUAAGUCAGACGUGAAAUCCCUCGGCUCAACCGAGGAACUGCGUCUGAUACUGGAAGGCUUGAAUCCGGGAGAGGGAUGUGGAAUUCCAGGUGUAGCGGUGAAAUGCGUAGAUAUCUGGAGGAACACCGGUGCGAAGGCGGCAUCCUGGACCGGUAUUGACGCUGAGGCGCGAAAGCUAGGGGAGCAAACGGGAUUAGAUACCCCGGUAGUCCUAGCCCUAAACGAUGAGUGCUUGGUGUGGCGGGUAUCGAUCCCUGCCGUGCCGAAGCUAACGCAUUAAGCACU
rnacentral:rRNA from 1 species